rfam:Crinalium epipsammum PCC 9333, complete genome.
UCCUGGUGCUAUUGCGUGGUGGUACCACUCCGAUCCCUUCUCGAACUCGGUCGUGAAACGCCUCAGCAGCUACGAUACUUUGGGGGUAGCCCCACGGGACAAUCGCUCUGUGCCAGGUC